rnacentral:tRNA from 1 species
GGAUGGCGCAGAAUAGGGACUGAAAACGGAUUCGAAAUCCGUUGAGUCAGCAAUGGCUCCUAGGGUUCAAAUCCCUAUCUCUCCGCCA